rnacentral:rRNA from 1 species
AGGAUGAACGCUGGCGGCGUGCCUAAAACAUGCAAGUCAUACGGUCUACCUUCGGGUAGACAGUGGCAAACGGGUGAGUAACACGUGGGAACACGCCUUCGAGUGGGGAAUAACGCUGAGAAAUCAGUGCUAAUACCGCAUAUGGUCUAACGACUAAAGCAGUAAUGCGCUCGGAGAGUGGCCCGCGUCCGAUUAGCUAGUUGGUGGGGUAAUGGCCUACCAAGGCGGUGAUCGGUAGCUGGUCUGAGAGGAUGGUCAGCCACACUGGGACUGCGAACGGCCCAGACUCCUACGGGAGGCAGCAGUUAGGAAUUUUCGGCAAUGGACGAAAGUCUGACCGAGCGACGCCGCGUGGAGGACGAAGCCGUUUCGGGGUGUAAACUCCGUUUUCUGCGGGAAGAUAAUGACGGUACCGCAGGAAUAAGCACCGGCUAACUACGUGCCAGCAGCCGC